CAAAACAGCAAAGCAGCACCUCGAAGUCUCAUUCACAAGACCUGGCCGAAGGCGACUAACUAGCAGUGGAGAACAAAGCAAAAAGAAAGGGAGAAUGAAAGUUGAAAUAGCUUCUUUCCUGGUGUUGGUGGUGGUGGUGUUCGCCUCAGCGAGAACUUGGGACAAGUCGUUCAGAUUUUACGACCAAGCCGGUACAUCUUCAUGUGAAAGGGACAAAGAGUGCAAGUGUGAAAAAUUCUUCGAGGGAAUUCGAGGACAGGGUUGCUCGGAAGGUCGGCACAAUUGCGAUGGUUCUAAAUCCUGUUACACCUACACAUGGCAUGCCUGUUGUUUGGAUUAGGAAAGAGAGGAUCAAGUACAGAAUGACAGCAUAUUCAUAAACACCCUUUAAAGGUCUAAAAUAGAAGUAGAAAUAAAAACUGGACAUCAGCAGUGUUUUUCGCAUUUCAUAAUAUGCAUGGGUACUAUUACUACUAGUUGACAUAGACUCUAAAAUACAUGUGCUUUUUUCAA